GGCGGCGGGGCAUUCCCUCCUUCCUCUGGCCCUCGUGGCGGCGGUGCGGGCCGCCAGAUCGGGGACAAGGGGCGCCUCGUCCGGCUGGUCUCUCGGAGGCGGGGACGGCUGGGUCCGGCGGCGACUGGGCUAGGAGGAGGUGGCGCGGUGUGGCGGUGCUGGUGGCAGGGUUUCGGUCGAGGUCGUCUUCGAUCUAGAUCGGGUUCUCCAUCGGGGCGUCGCACGGCGGUGGGAUCGGAUCGGCGGCAUCGUCACCGGUUCGGCGGAGGGCUCCGUUCCAGCCAACCACGAGAUCGGGACGCCGUGGCCUCCGGUGAAAAUCGCGUCUGACUGCGGUCAUGGCGGACGAUGGCGGCGUCUAGGACGUCGUUCCCUUCUUGAGGCAUCGUCGUUGCAGGUCACGUCAACCUGAUCGAAAGGCUCCAGGGGAAACCCUUGAUCUGGAUCUACCGGAUCGGACGACGACGACGUUUCGAUGUCGUUCUUCCUCCUGGGGGCAUCGUUUUGGAGCAAGUGUUGGCUGGAGGGGGCAAGAGGAGGAGCGGCGUGGCAUCUGGCACGUCGACAACGGCGGGUCUCAGCGGCAUGGAGCAGCGGGGGUCUCGCCGGUGGGCGUGUGAUGAUGGACGGGUGCAGGAUGGUGGCGCUGUCUGGCGUCGUGGUGGCGUCGAUGGCAGUGAGGCCUGGCACGGUUCAUGCAACAGUUCAGCUCUGAAGAUGGAUUGAUGGUACGUGGCUGCGGCGGCCUCAUACCCGGCAGGGGGCCUGGUUGACGAGCACGCCGGACUGGUGGGCGCCCAUACCCGGAAGGAGUCCUGGUUGGGACCUCAGGUCUCAGAUGUUAGGUUUGGCUGCGAGGUCUGUUUGGUAUUAGGCCCAGACCAUCAGCGCCCUUUCAUCAGUUAGAUAGGAGUAGCGACAGAUGUUGCGAA
rnacentral:rRNA from 1 species